rnacentral:lncRNA from 1 species
CCACCAAGGAGCCCCCAGGAAUAAGCUGCCCACAGCGUCCUCCCCGACUCCAGGAGCAAAGGCCCCGUGUGCGGGAAUAGUAGUCACAGUGUCUGAUAUUUAUUUAGGGGAAGUGACCAUCGAGAUCUCACAGAGCACAAACCCUCAACCUCCAGCCACAAUCUGGGUCCUUCUGACGACUCUCCUAACAAGGUGGAUGACGUCUCAUACUCUGUCCUGAACUUCAAUGCCCAGCAAUCCAAACGACCAACUUCAGCCUCUUCAAGCCCCAC